GAUUUUGGUGAGUGGCGGACGGGUGAGUAACACGUGGGUAACCUGCCCAAAAGUGGGGGAUAACAUUUGGAAACAAGUGCUAAUACCGCAUAACAACUGCUUUCACAUGAUCGCAGCUUGAAAGAUGGCUCUGCUAUCGCUUUUGGAUGGACCCGCGGCGUAUUAGCUAGUUGGUGAGGUAAUAGCUCACCAAGGCAAUGAUACGUAGCCGACCUGAGAGGGUAAUCGGCCACAUUGGGACUGAGACACGGCCCAAACUCCUACGGGAGGCAGCAGUAGGGAAUCUUCCACAAUGGGCGAAAGCCUGAUGGAGCAAUGCCGCGUGAGUGAAGAAGGUUUUCGGAUCGUAAAACUCUGUUGUUGAAGAAGAACAUGCGUGAGAGUAACUGUUCACGUACUGACGGUAUUCAACCAGAAAGCCACGGCUAACUACGUGCCAGCAGCCGCGGUAAUACGUAGGUGGCAAGCGUUGUCCGGAUUUAUUGGGCGUAAAGAGAAUGUA
rnacentral:rRNA from 1 species